GCACCCGCGGUAAUUCCAGCACCAAUAGCGUAUAUUAAUGCUGCUGCUGUUAAAAAGCUCGUAGUUGGAUCAAGAGUUGGACAGUGCACGGCGGCCCCGUUGGCCUAGUUUGGUUCCGAUCAAGCUAGCCGCGGCGGAAUCACCCCGUGCGCCAAACUGUCCACUCUAACAGGCCGAAACGGUUCCCUGUGAGUAGGCUCCUUCAUUGGGGUCGAAAGCGCCUACGCAUCAACCAUAUGCAUACGGGACGUCGGCCAAAGUUACUGUGAACAAACCAGCGUGUCCAAAGCAGGCUUUCGCCUGAAUGUUCGAGCAUGGAAUAACAAGGGAUCGAUUCUCUCGGUUCUUUUGGUUGGUUUUUAACCCGAGAAGGAGUAAUUCAGGCCACGGUGUCUGAGUUGGGUUACCCGAGCCCUUGGGUGAGGCCCCAAUUAGGCCGUGUCCUUACGGGAUCAAUAGGGACUGACGGGGUCGUACGUACUUCCGCGUCAGAGGUGAAAUUCUUAGAUCGCGGGAAGACGAACUUCUGCGAAAGCAUUCGACAAGAAUGUCUUCAUUAAUCAAGAACGAGAGUGUGGGGAUCGAAGAUGAUCAGAUACCGUCGUAGUCCACUACUGUAAACAAUGCCGUCUCAGGAUUGAGAAGUGAACUGAAUGACUCUCACAGCACUAACCCCUGAAACGAGAAAUCAAAGAUUAUGGGUUCAGGGGGGAGUACAUUCGCAAGGCUGAAACUUAAAGGAAUUGACGGAAUGACACCACAAGGCGUGGAGUAUGCGGCUUAAUUUGACUCAACACGGGGAAUUUUACUAGGUCAGGACAAUGUAAGGAUUGACAGAUUGAGAGCUCUUUCUCGAUCCAUUGUGUGGUGGUGCAUGGCCGCUCCUGGUUGGUGGAGUGAUUUGUCUGGUUGAUUCCGUUAACGAACGAGAUCUCGACCCUUAAAUAGGUGCCCGUGUCGAUUGUAGUUUCGCUCCUGCUCGCUUGCGAGACUUGGACGGGACGAGACUGCGGGAAUACUUUUUAAGGGGACUGUAUGCGUUUAUAGCAUGCGGAAGAGCGAGCCAAUAGCAGGUCUGUGAUGCUCCUAAAUGUCCUAGGCUGCACGCGCACUACACUGAUGCAAUAAACGAGUCUGAUUGCCUUCUGGCAACCUACCUGGAAGCGGGUGGGAAAUAUUUUGAACUUGCAUCGUGGUGAG
rnacentral:rRNA from 1 species